AGAGUUUGAUCCUGGCUCAGGAUGAACGCUAGCGGCAGGCCUAACACAUGCAAGUCGAGGGGCAGCACGUAAAGUUAGCAAUAACUUUUGGUGGCGACCGGCAGACGGGUGCGUAACGCGUAUGCAACCUACCAUCGAUUGGGGGAUAACGGGGAGAAAUUCCCACUAAUACCCCAUAACAUCAGAACCGGCAUCGGUUUUGGUUGAAAACUCAGGUGAUCGAUGAUGGGCAUGCGUAACAUUAGAUAGUUGGUGAGGUAACGGCUCACCGAGUCCACGAUGUUUAGGGGGACUGAGAGGUUAACCCCCCACACUGGUACUGAGACACGGACCAGACUCCUACGGGAGGCAGCAGUGAGGAAUAUUGGUCAAUGGGCGCAAGCCUGAACCAGCCAUGCCGCGUGCAGGAAGACGGCUCUAUGAGUUGUAAACUGCUUUUGUACGAGGGUAAAAUCCGCUACGUGUAGUGGUUUGAAAGUAUCGUACGAAUAAGGAUCGGCUAACUCCGUGCCAGCAGCCGCGGUAAUACGGAGGAUCCAAGCGUUAUCCGGAUUUAUUGGGUUUAAAGGGUGCGUAGGCGGUUUGGUAAGUUAGAGGUGAAAUCUCGGGGCUCAACCCCGAAACCGCCUCUGAUACUGCCGGGCUAGAGACAAGAUGCUGUGGGCGGAAUGUGUGGUGUAGCGGUGAAAUGCUUAGAGAUCACACAGAACACCGAUUGCGAAGGCAGCUCACAAAACUUGUUCUGACGCUGAGGCACGAAAGCGUGGGGAUCAAACAGGAUUAGAUACCCUGGUAGUCCACGCUGUAAACGAUGAUAACUCGUUGUCGGCGAUACACAGUCGGUGACUAAGCGAAAGCGAUAAGUUAUCCACCUGGGGAGUACGUUCGCAAGAAUGAAACUCAAAGGAAUUGACGG
rnacentral:rRNA from 1 species